GCCUACGGCCAUACCACGUUGAACACACCGGUUCUCGUCCGAUCACCGAAGUUAAGCAACGUCGGGCCCGGUUAGUACUUGGAUGGGUGACCGCCUGGGAACACCGGGUGUUGUAGGCA
rnacentral:rRNA from 1 species